AUUGAACGCUAGCGGGAUGCCUUACACAUGCAAGUCGAACGGAGUGGCGAACGGGUGAGUAAUGUAUCGGAACGUGCCCAGUAGCGGGGGAUAACUACGCGAAAGCGUAGCUAAUACCGCAUACUAUUGGAGCGGCCGAUAUCGGUUUAGCUAGUUGGUGGGGGAACGGCGCACCAAGGCGACGAUCCGUAGCUGGUUUGAGAGGAGGAACAGCCACCCUGGGACUGAGACACGGCCAAGACUACACCUUGAAUCACCAUUACACAAUUUUUAACAAUGAUGGAAACCCUGAUCCAGCCAUCCCGCGUGUGCGAAGAACACCUGCGGGUUCUAACGCACUGUUGGCAGGAAAGCGGUACCUGCAGAAUAAGCACCGGCUAACUACGUGCCAGCAGCCGCGGUAAUAC
rnacentral:rRNA from 1 species